UGGGGAAUAUUGGACAAUGGGGGAAACCCUGAUCCAGCCAUGCCGCGUGGAUGAAGAAGGCCCUAGGGUUGUAAAAUCCUUUCGCCAGGGAAGAUAAUGACGGUACCUGGAAAAGAAGCCCCGGCUAAUUUCGUGCCAGCAGCCGCGGUAAUACGAAAGGGGCUAGCGUUGUUCGGAAUUACUGGGCGUAAAGCGCACGUAGGCGGCCUUGUAAGUUGGGGGUGAAAUCCCGGAGCUCAACUCCGGAACUGCCUCCAAAACUACAAAGCUUGAGGAUGCGAGAGGUGAGCGGAAUUCCGAGUGUAGAGGUGAAAUUCGUAGAUAUUCGGAAGAACACCAGUGGCGAAGGCGGCUCACUGGCGCAUUUCUGACGCUGAGGUGCGAAAGCGUGGGGAGCAAACAGGAUUAGAUACCCGGGUAGUCC
rnacentral:rRNA from 1 species